rnacentral:rRNA from 1 species
AUUGAACGCUGGCGGCAGGCUUAACACAUGCAAGUCGAGCGGGGGAAGGUAGCUUGCUACUGGACCUAGCGGCGGACGGGUGAGUAAUGCUUAGGAAUCUGCCUAUUAGUGGGGGACAACAUCUCGGAAGGGAUGCUAAUACCGCAUACGUCCUACGGGAGAAAGCAGGGGAUCUUCGGACCUUGCGCUAAUAGAUGAGCCUAAGUCGGAUUAGCUAGUUGGUGGGGUAAAGGCCUACCAAGGCGACGAUCUGUAGCGGGUCUGAGAGGAUGAUCCGCCACACGGGGACUGAGACACGGCCCAGACUCCUACGGGAGGCAGCAGUGGGGAAUAUUGGACAAUGGGGGGAACCCUGAUCCAGCCAGGCCGCGUGUGUGAAGAAGGCCUUAUGGUUGUAAAGCACUUUAAGCGAGGAGGAGGCUACUCUAGUUAAUACCUAGGGAUAGUGGACGUUACUCGCAGAAUAAGCACCGGCUAACUCUGUGCCAGCCGCCGCAGUAA